rnacentral:rRNA from 1 species
AGUGAACGCCGGCGGUAGACCUAACACGUGCAAGUCGAACGGCAGCACAGUAAGAGCUUGCUCUUACGGGUGGCGAGUGGCGGACGGGUGAGGAAUACAUCGGAAUCUACUUUUUCGUGGGGGAUAACGUAGGGAAACUUACGCUAAUACCGCAUACGACCUACGGGUGAAAGCAGGGGAUCUUCGGACCUUGCGCGAUUGAAUGAGCCGAUGUCGGAUUAGCUAGUUGGCGGGGUAAAGGCCCACCAAGGCGACGAUCCGUAGCUGGUCUGAGAGGAUGAUCAGCCACACUGGAACUGAGACACGGUCCAGACUCCUACGGGAGGCAGCAGUGGGGAAUAUUGGACAAUGGGCGCAAGCCUGAUCCAGCCAUACCGCGUGGGUGAAGAAGGCCUUCGGGUUGUAAAGCCCUUUUGUUGGGAAAGAAAAGCAGCAGGUUAAUACCCCGCUGUUCUGACGGUACCCAAAGAAUAAGCACCGGCUAACUUCGUG